CCUGUAUGUAAACCCUUUUUAUCUAUUGGUUGCAUAUCCCUCUUCCAUCCUCUUUGUUGCCUACCAUAGUAGUUUUCUUCUUUAUGACUCUAGUGUAAUAUGUGUAUAUCCACAUUCUGUUGUAUAACAAUCAAUUAGUAUAUAGUGUAUAUUCAUUACUUAUAAUAUAUAUGCAUGGACUUUGGGCCACUUCUGGCACCAAUCUUUUCAAGGAGGAAACUCUUGCUAAUGCAACCAAGUCUUUUUCUUUUUGGGUGGAGAAACACCCCUAUCAUCUCAAAUGUGCACUAAUUAAUUAGGUAACAAUAUAAAUAAAAAGUACUUUGAGUUAAUUAUGUGAGAAAAAAAUACUAAGAACUAACUGUAUUCCAAGUAUCACAUGAAUAACUAAUUGACAUUGAAAUUUUAGUGGCCUAAUUUGGGAUCUAAGGGAAAGCCUUUACGUUCGUUAGUAAGCCUAAUUUAGUAAUUUUAGUGACAUUGAAUAACUAUUUACGUUCGUUAGUAAAUAGUACACGUUUGAAUUCUCUUUCACGACUAAACAGAGCUUAAUUAGUGAGUAAAUUAACAAUUUCUUAUUUUGAAUUUUGCCUCCACAAUAUUAAUGUUUUUAACAUCAUGUCUUAAUUAUUGUGGACAACGGUAUAACUUAAAAAUGGGACAAGUUAAUAAUCCUGCAAUUCAAUUACUAGCCAAAUUCUACAUCUGUAAUGAAAGCAAACAUACGUAUUCAACAAUACAAAUCGAUGUACUCAGUAUAUACAAAUAAUAUCAAAUAAUGUAGAUAGAUUAUAUCAAGUAAGUAUGCUUAAAGAUACAUCAAGAUCGAAACAUGAGAUCCAAGGAAAUGAUUGAAAACUUCUUAGUGAAUAUUACAUUCCCAUUCAUUGUAGCUAAAUUUGGAUGCACCAAAAAUGUAAAGCAGAAAAAUAGUAAAGAAAGAAAAGUUCCCCUCUAACAGAAAAGAUUAAAAAACUACUUAUGUUUCUGUAAAGAAAAGAGCCUUGAAUCUUGAUAACUGGUAAGAAUAGUACGUACUAUAUCUUGUAACUGCAUAAUAAUGCAUUGCCAAAGGGUUUAGUAGUUGCCCAGAAAAACAUACUUGAUGAUGCAUGUGUCAUCAUGGAAAACCAUCAUCAUCAUCAUCGUCAUCAUCAACAUCGUCAUCCUUUUGAUUUUCCGUGGGAACUGGGAAAGGAGAAAAACUGAAGGAGAAAGAAUGGGAGGUGGGGAGGAUCUUUAAAGAAAAAAGAAGGGGAUUAGUGCAUAGCAUUCCUAUUUUAUUUCAACUUUAAAAAAGUAGUUGCUACUUGGUGGAGAGAGGAUCUUCUAAGCAUAUGCUUCCCCCUUUUUUUUCCUUUCUUUUUCAUAUUCAUAUUCAAAACAAAUCAAUAUUUGUUGGCUAAUGAACCAAUUAAUUAAUUUGGCUUCCAUAGGUGUCCUUUA
rnacentral:lncRNA from 1 species